AUCCAUUAAGUAUUUAGUACGCCAAUUUUAGAAGUUGGAAGAAAUAUUUGAUG
rnacentral:tRNA from 1 species